CUUUCUGCUUUUUCUCCUUUUUUCUGCUUUCUGCAAUUAUCUCAGUGGGUAGCCAUGCUUUCUGCUUUUCCUUUCCAUUAUUCUCAUACCUGGCACCACCAAAAUUAUUACCAGAAGGCAUCGGCAGCGGCUGAUGCCCACCUGGAUGCAUGGUCUUGCUGAUGCAUGGUCCGAUGUUCAUAGAAAAAAUUCAGUCUCUAAUACAAACCUCUAUCAGGACAUGGUAGCUCCUCACCAAUUGGCACACAUGAAACAGGAAACCCAAUCAUUUUGAUUUAGCUGAAUUGCUUGCGCGACAACAAAUUCGACAGCAGCAGCAUCAACAGCGGAAUAUUUUGGCUUGUUUUGGACAUUUGAAUGAUGCAGCAUUAGAGCAUUUGCCAAGUCAGAAUCUUAUCCACCGACAGUUAGCCAACCAUUCUUCAGCAGAUCUGGAUCACCUUUUGGCACUUCAGAUGCAACAGCACUGGGAGGCUCAGCUCCAGCACCACACAACUUCAGCGUCGAGGGCCGUCUCGUCCACACCCACAGGUGCAUCCUGGCAGCCUGGAGCCUCUUUUUCUGGAAAUUCUUUUGUGGGCCGGAGCCACCAUCGGGUCUGGAUCUCUCGGCGUUGGUGACUAUGGUGUGCUUUCCGAUUAAUUUGCCAUCUCAGACGACGGCAACAGGGAGUCGAGAAUUGCACUGCAGCGGCUCCAACUCCAGAAAAUCUGAGAGGGAGCGACCGAGACUACUGGGCAUUUCAGGUUCAAACUCCACGGGCAAAACCAAGAACCUGCAAAAUUUGAGAAACCCGACUUCCAGGUAGUCUUGAAAUCGGGGGAUUUAGUGGCUUUCAGGAGAUGUAGCGGCGGAGCAUGGCGGAGGAAGGAAGAAUGGAUGGAUUUGGUGGUGGGUCAGAGUUAAAGGGAGCUCCAAAGAUCGCGGAAAUGGAGAUCAAAGCCGUCGUGAUUUUCUGAUGAAGAGGUUUUUUGUUUUUGGCAGUUUAGGAUUGGGCUUGUGGGCCUGGGCAUGAUGACGAGCUCGUGUGUUGAUUCACUGACCCCCUGAAACAUUCCGGCCUGUGGACACACAUCAUGCAAUGGAAGUUCGCCUUGGGCUGUCGAAGGGUCCAGUCGCCCCAAGCUUUAUGUGAUCCUCGUACUUUCUUGCCGAAAGAAGAGGAUUAGUAUCUUUGCGGUGGAUUUAUACUUUUAUGUCAAUGUUGUUCUUAAAUUGUGAUUGUUUGUCGCGCUGAGUUGAAAGGUCCAGACAUUGAUAUUGUGGAGUUACAUUUACUUUGGAGUAGUAUUGGGUUAUCUUCUAUCCAAUUACAGUUCCCCUAUUUGGUACUUUCAAUUUUA